rnacentral:rRNA from 1 species
GUGGGGAAUAUUGGGCAAUGGGCGAAAGCCUGACCCAGCAACGCCGCGUGAAGGAAGAAGGUUUUCGGAUCGUAAACUUCUAUCCUAGGUGAAGAUAAUGACGGUAGCCUAGAAGGAAGCCCCGGCUAACUACGUGCCAGCAGCCGCGGUAAUACGUAGGGGGCAAGCGUUGUCCGGAAUGAUUGGGCGUAAAGGGCGCGUAGGCGGCCCGGUAAGUCUGAAGUGAAAGUCCUGCUUUUAAGGUGGGAAUUGCUUUGGAUACUGUCGGGCUUGAGUGCAGGAGAGGUAAGCGGAAUUCCCGGUGUAGCGGUGAAAUGCGUAGAGAUCGGGAGGAACACCAGUGGCGAAGGCGGCUUACUGGACUGUAACUGACGCUGAGGCGCGAAAGUGUGGGGAGCAAACAGGAUUAGAUACCCUGGUAGUCC